rnacentral:misc_RNA from 1 species
GUAUUGAUUCGCGCGUGAUCGCGCAAAGAACAUUCUACACUAGGGUGUUUGAUGUUUAAAAACGUGAGCACCCCCCUCCGAGGAAGGGGGGACGCACGCGGUGAUGCACAAAGGGGUGAGAUGGAUAUUUGUAUGUGAGAGCACUCGGGCGUGCACGACGAAAAGUCAGCGACAACCCCAGCACCUCCAUUGUAUGAUAAUGAUCCUUCCGCAGGUUCACCUACGGAAA